AUCUUAGUUUUUGAAAUAUUUUGACUGAACAAAUAUUGGCUGUCCGCCAUCUUGGAUUAGUUUUGAUCUCAUUGACGGUGGUUUUGGUGACGUCAAAAGCAGGGUUUGGCUAUAUAUAGUAUAUGUUUAAAAUGUUGUCAGUCAAUUUCUAAUUUGAAAUAGUGACCGAAAUAUAAUUUUGGGCUAAUCAUUAUUGUGUAUAUCCGGUAACAUACAUAUCCUCAAUAAUCCAAGAUGGCGAACAGCUCACUGAUUCAUGGUGAUUUUUGUCAAAAUAUUUCGAGAACUAAACAACAUUUGAAGAAGCUGUAAAAGUUUUAAAAGUUCUUUCAAAAUUUCUAUUGCCUUACCAAAUUUUUAUUGCCAUACCUCUUGAACAACGUCGAGUUUUUACACGAGUAUAUCUUAACCAGGUAUAUUUAUCAAUUCUUACCAUAGUUUAUAAUUACACUUAACAAAAAAAAUAUUAAAACAUUUUCUACACACAAAAUUACACGUAUUUUCCACACUAUUUACAGCGUCUUAUUAUAUGGCUCAGAGCUCUGAAUAAUUGCAGUCUUUUGUCUCGCGCGUGAUGGAGCUUCGUGGUUAUAGUCUCGUGCAAAUUUAAAGCUCGUUUGACUCGUUUUCAAUGUUACUCCUACCAUUUAAACCUAGCCGACAAAUUGGACACGAGUCGUGCUGUAAAAAAAGAAAUGUAUUUUUGCAAUGUGGAACAUUAAGAUGCUCUGUAGGCAAAGAUCUACACACGUAAAAACGCACAAGUUGUUACAAGUCUGCAAACAAGUUACAAAUAUGUUCACAAGCUGUCGAC